rnacentral:tRNA from 1 species
GCGGGCGUAAGUUCAGUGGUAGAAUAGGGGCUUGCCAAGUCCCUAGUCGCGGGUUCGAAUCCCGUCGCUCGCU